rnacentral:rRNA from 1 species
AGUGAACGCUGGCGGUAGGCCUAACACAUGCAAGUCGAACGGCAGCACAGUAAGAGCUUGCUCUUACGGGUGGCGAGUGGCGGACGGGUGAGGAAUACAUCGGAAUCUACUUUUUCGUGGGGGAUAACGUAGGGAAACUUACGCUAAUACCGCAUACGCCCUACGGGUGAAAGCAGGGGAUCUUCGGACCUUGCGCGAUUGAAUGAGCCGAUGGGUGAUUAGCUAGUUGGCGGGGUAAAGGCCCACCAAGGCGACGAUCCGUAGCUGGCCUGAGAGGAGGGACGGCAAGAUUGGGAGGGAGAGACGGACCAGACGGAUACGGGAGGCAGGGGGGGGGAAUAUUGCACAAUGGGAGGAAGACUGAUGAAGCAGCGCAGCGGGAGGGAGGAAGGCAUUCGGGGGGUAAAACGCUGGCGCCUGUGACGAAGCGGGGGUGAGGGUAAUGGGUAAAGAAGCAACGGCUAACUACGUG